rnacentral:lncRNA from 14 species
CACCUCACCCCAAGCACACCACCCACCCAGGGCAACAGCUCAAGGCCGUGCUGUUCUCCUGGCCCACAGAUCCCAGUCGGGACCACACAUCCGACCCCCCUCGGAAAGAGGGCGAGAUCACCGCCGCUCCGUUUUGUUUCAAUGCCCGGGGAACCCUGUCUACAAAAAUGACAGCUCGAGCCCUCUGGCUUCUCUGUUUGAUCGUCGGAUGGUCCCCCGAAGCCCCGUUGGCGGAAAGAAAAGCCCCUCCGCCUCACCGAAAGCCCGACGCCCGGGAGACGCCGGGCCCGCGCGCGCAGCCGCUGCCGGAGU